rnacentral:rRNA from 1 species
GAUGAACGCUAGCGGCAGGCUUAAUACAUGCAAGUCGAGGGGCAGCAUGAUUGUAGCAAUACAAUUGAUGGCGACCGGCAAACGGGUGCGGAACACGUACACAACCUCCCAAUAAGUGGGGAAUAGCCCAGAGAAAUUUGGAUUAAUACCCCGUAACAUAACGAUGUGGCAUCACAUAGUUAUUAUAGUUUUUGUGCUUAUUGAUGGGUGUGCGGCUGAUUUGAGAGUUGGCGGGGUAACGGCCUACCAAGUCUACGAUCAGUAGCUGAUGUGCGAGCAUAAUCAGGCAAUCGAGCAGUGAGACUCGGGCCCGACACCUACGGGAGGCAGCAGUAAGGAAUAUUGGACAAUGGACGCAAGUCUGAUCCAGCCAUGCCGCGUGAAGGAUUAAGGUCCUCUGGAUUGUAAACUUCUUUUAUAAGGGACGAAAAAAGGCUUUUCUAAGUCGUCUGACGGUACCUUAUGAAUAAGCACCGGCUAACUCCGUGCCAGCAGCCGCAGUAAUAC